rnacentral:tRNA from 1 species
GAGCCGUUAGCUCAGUAGGUAGAGCAACUGCCUUUUAAGCAGUGGGUCGUAGGUUCGAUCCCUACACGGCUCA